rnacentral:rRNA from 1 species
AACUAACGCUGGCAGUGCGUCUUAAGCAUGCAAGUCAAACGGGAUGUAGCAAUACAUUCAGUGGCGAACGGGUGAGUAACGCGUGGAUGAUCUACCUAUGAGAUGGGGAUAACUAUUAGAAAUAGUAGCUAAUACCGAAUAAGGUCAGUUAAUUUGUUAAUUGAUGAAAGGAAGCCUUUAAAGCUUCGCUUGUAGAUGAGUCUGCGUCUUAUUAGCUAGUUGGUAGGGUAAAUGCCUACCAAGGCAAUGAUAAGUAACCGGCCUGAGAGGGUGAACGGUCACACUGGAACUGAGAUACGGUCCAGACUCCUACGGGAGGCAGCAGCUAAGAAUCUUCCGCAAUGGGCGAAAGCCUGACGGAGCGACACUGCGUGAAUGAAGAAGGUCGAAAGAUUGUAAAAUUCUUUUAUAAAUGAGGAAUAAGCUUUGUAGGAAAUGACAAAGUGAUGACGUUAAUUUAUGAAUAAGCCCCGGCUAAUUACGUGCCAGCAGCCGCGGUAAUACGUAAGGGGCGAGCGUUGU